AUGAUGUAUGCCACCGGCCGCCUGGAUGUCUCCCACGGACUCCCGCUGCUCUACUCUAUGGCGCAGUGCAACCUGGACCUACGACCGAAUGACUGCUGGGAUUGCCUCGACAAUAUCAGGAGCGUAGCAAGGGGUUCCUUCCACGAGCAACAUGGUGAAUGGAUUGCUGGUGUGUGGUGCAAUUUUAGGUACAGCACGUAUCAGUUCUACAAUGACCAGCCCACGAAGAAGACCGGCUGGUCAGAUGUUGUAGAUCCAACAACAAACAUGCCGGCGCCAGGGCCGUUUACCCCAUUGGCCCUGUUCCAAGUUGUUUUAGCUGUCUCAGAAGACACGUGUUGUACCUCUAUACCUGCAAACAUGGCAAAGGGCUGCCGUGCAGAAGUGAUGCUACAUGUCUACCACAUGUCAUCCAAAUCAGCUCAAAACCGCUUGGGAUAG
rnacentral:rRNA from 1 species